AGCUCCCUCGCACGUCGUGUACUGAUGCCAGAGCUGGAAGAUGACGUCAUCUUCCGGCUCUGGUAUCAGUGUGGUGCACGAGGGAGCU